CCAAAACCUUAUUCCAAACCCUUAUAAUCCAAACCCUACCCUAUCAACUAAUCCUACCCUAACUAAGCCCACCCUAAUCAUCAAACCCCCUACAUUUUAGGAUUCGUCCUUCUUCCCCCCCCCGGGCGUAAUAUUAGAACCCCUCUCCUCCCAAGAAUUCCUUUUCGCCUUGCCUACACGCAAAGUACGGUUCACGACAGUUAUACGAGUAAGUAAAUUUCAUUUUUUACAUUCCGAAACCAAAAAUCAACACAUCACGCAUUAGAAUCAUAUCAUUUUCACCCAUCACAAAGCACGCACACCAAAUUCAACUAACAUUCACACUGUUCCUAGACGAAAUAAUCAACAGAUUUUUUCGCGCAAAACAUGUAUAAUUCAUUAAAGGAACAGAAAUAAAUAUUCAUAUGCGAGCACGUAGUUCCAAGACCAGCUAGCGGGGUCGAAAC